AUGGCUAAUCUUCAAAAUCAUGCUACGAAAGCCAGUUCAGGAAUGCAAAUCAAACUUGCUGUAGUUCAUAAGAGUCAGACCUUUACCAACAUUGAACCUUCUCUACCAAGAACCUUAACUACAGAUAGCCUUCCAAUUCCCGUUGCCCCUGCAAGAUUUUUGAGCAAUGGUCUUCAGAUGGUUGAGUUUUUUUGGAAGAAUAGCGCUUACUAA